rnacentral:rRNA from 1 species
UACGAAGGGUGCAAGCGUUAAUCGGAAUUACUGGGCGUAAAGGGUGCGUAGGCGGUUGUUUAAGUCUGUCGUGAAAUCCCCGGGCUCAACCUGGGAAUGGCGAUGGAUACUGGGCAGCUAGAGUGUGUCAGAGGAUGGUGAAAUUCCCGGUGUAGCGGUGAAAUGCGUAGAGAUCGGGAGGAACAUCAGUGGCGAAGGCGGCCAUCUGGGACAACACUGACGCUGAAGCACGAAAGCGUGGGGAGAAAACAGG